GGAAGCGGCAGGACUAAUUGUAAGGAAACGGCAGCCCUCCCCGCGCCUGGAGGCGGAGGCAGAGCAGUGGUAGGACCUGAGUUUGACGUCACCAGUGGUGGGAGGAGCCCGGCGUGAUCCGGAGCUACUUCCGGAAGAAGGGAGCGCCCGGUUGCCGGUAGGAAAGGGAGACGCGGCACGUGACUCCUGACGCACGCAGGCUGUCGGGACGGGGGUGGGGAAGCGCUGGUGGUGCCGGUGUUGGGCGCCCCCUCCCGUCUCACAGAGACCGCCGAGUCCCGUCUUGUUUGAGAAUCAUCAAAUAUAGAAGAUAGUUGAAAUCACAGGAAUUGGUGCAAUCAUCCAGGGAGAGUAGGUAGAGCAAGAGGAGAAGAAUCAAUCCAAAGUAACUUGAACACCUAAGAGAAUAGGAAAAUAAGCUUGUGAAGGGUUUGCCGAAAGUGCUACCUGGAUUGCAAAGUUCUUUUUUUCAAGUUACAAAAUGUUCAGGAAACUACUUUCUGCAUUUUGAAGAGCCUGGUUUUUCAGACUAGUUUUUCCCUGGGACAAUUAAAGCUGAGAAUUGAACUGCUAGAAGAAAGUGGAUUGGAAAAGAUGACUUCCACAGGAACAUGCCAGGUUUUCAGAGCCAGAAAAUUUUUUUCUUCAGAGCAUAGUUGUGAAUGGGACUUAUGGAUCAGGAAACAUCUCUGAGCAACUGUAACAAACAAUCCUCAAAUAUCAAUGUCUUAGAACCACAAAAGUUUAUUUCUUGCUUAUGAUACUUGUUCACUGUGGUUCUGCUGGAGGCUCUGCUCUGUGUCAUCUUUGCUCCUGAAUCCAGAUUAAAGGAGUAGCCACUAUUUGGAGUAUUAUCUGUUACCAUGGCAGAGGGGAAAGGAGAGCAUGAUGAUCCUAUCCAUAGUGGCCGUCCCAUGGAAAAGAGAAGAUAAGACUGUGCAUUCAAAAGGGAAAAGGACCAAGACUGUUUUUGAAUCACUCACUGCUACAAAAGUAGUUCAGCAGAAGAACUGGGCAUUCUUCCCCAUGCCCAGAAUACCCCUCUUUUUUUUUUUACAUGGGCAUCCCACAUCUCUCCAGAUUUCAUGAUGGCUGUCCUGUGUCUUUAGUUCUCUGGUGGAUGCACAAAAAGUCAUUAAUUUCCUGUCUGUCCAACUUUCCUCCUUUUGAAAAUAUGAAAGCUGCAGCUGUGAGCUGAGAUCACAAGGAUUGUGAUUUAGGACACAUGGUGUCAUCUUUCAGCGGGCUUAAAGAAGGUUUACACCAAAUGUACUCUGAGAAGUUCUUGAAAAUAAGUUUACGUUAAUCCAGGGUAGACAUGUGCUGCUCCAUCCCCGCUUCCAGGAAGGUCUUAGUGCUCAGCGGUGGGGAAUGAAGUCAGCAGACAGCCUGAAGCCAUCACCUUCUUUAGGGUUGGCCUUAGCUGACCUUCCAGGAGGAUUUUUAACUCAGCUAGGGAUAAUCUCUGGAGACUUGUUUUGGAUGUCAGUAUCAUUGGAUGGUGGACCCCUGUCAUCUUGGGUCUCUGCGUGCUACAUUGAGCAGGUCCCCUGGUGGCCUGCAUUGGACAGCUAAGGAAACUGAGCCUCAGAGAGAUGAUAUGGCCUAGACAGAGACGGAUUGCAGUCCCCCACCUUCCUUUGCUGAAUCCUAAGCACUUUGGCUCGUGUGCCAGCCCAGAGCUAGUAGACAUGAAGAAGACUUUUAAACGACUUAUGAACAGAAGAUAUUCAAGAAUUUAAAAGAACCAUCCAGGAGGGCUGAAACUACAUUCUACCCAUCUCCUGAGAAUAGUUCUGCAAAGUGCAAAUAAAAUGACACAUCUCAAUGAAGGUAUUCAGCGAUAAGCAAGUCUACAGUUUGUUCUACUGCUGACUCUCUAGGAUUUAAUGCACUGCUUUCUGGGAAUCUCUAUCUUGUUCACAGGUCUUCAGAUCAAGAGACACUACAACUAGAUGUCAUCAAAAUCAAGAUAUCUUGGACUUUGUGCCUGAUGUCAUGAUUGGGUGAAACUUUUGUAAGUCGUGUGAUAAGGAAAGGAGAAAGAAGCAGAUGUUUUCAGGAAGAUUGAUCUUAACUCUAACUAUACAGCUAAAAAUGAAAUCAUAGUCUAGUUGUUAUGAGUAUACUGAGAAGCUAAAGAAGAAUUUAAAUACUUAUUAUCUCUUUGUCAUACUUUAUAUUUUAAAAUGUUAGUAAUAAUAUAUACCUAACCUUGUUGUAAUGAGUAUAAAAGGCACUAUAUGAAAAGAUUUGACAUAGCAUUGUGACUCAGUAUAUUAUGAUCCAUGUUGUUCCUAACUGAAUUACCAGUUUUAUAUCUGAAUUCAUUUUAUAUCUAUUUUUGGAAUAUUAAAAAACUACAUUUUCAUUUGAUAAAUAGUCAUGAUUUCACACUAACAUCUUGAAAGCUGAUGAAAUAUUCCAACUAUAAUUUUGUUCUUAUAUAAUUCUACCAUUAACACAGACAUUUAGGCUGUUAGAAUGUCUUAUUUUUAUUGUCCAUUGCUAUGCUAAUGAUAUAUGCUAAUUUUGACUAUAAAUUCUGGUUAUUAAACUUCUGUAUUGCUAAUUAGAAAAAGAGCAUAUUAUUAAUUUCUAAAGAAAAGGUAUAUUUAAAAUAAUAAUUUUAGGCCAGAUUUUCAUUUUUGAAAUAUUUCUUGAAAAUACCUAUUCAUUAAGAAUUUCCAUUUGCUAAGCAGAUACAGUAGUUUAGCAGUAUUCAUUUUAGUGUUCCAUUUUUUUUUAAAUUUUGGAAAUAAUCACUUAACCAUUCAUUAAUGCGAUAAAAUGCUGUAAUGGCACUUGCAGUGUCCUAUUAAUCACUCUAUUGUAAUUAUGACAGACCUCUUUAGCCAGUAUGGUACCAUUUCUUUCAGAAACAUAUUACAAGUUUGAAAAGAGGCUUGCUCCUUACUUUUGCCACACACACUGCCACAAACACACUCAAGUUUGGGGGAGGCAAAUCUAUGUCUUAAACUCUGAUUGUAUAUAAUAAAAUGUUAUUAACUUUUACAGGUAAAUUUAAAACCUGGUUACAUCUGUUACUAAAAGAAGCAAAAAUGAAUUUUAGUAGCUUAAUAUAAUUAAGAACUUAUGAUAAACACCAGAACCUUGCACUGGACUCUCUCUCCCCGAGACCCAUGUUCAGAGGUUUAGAAGUGAUGUGGUUUUGUAACCCCUCUUACCAAGUGUUCCUAUCCAUGCUAUAUAUCCAGAAAAAAUGAAAACAUUAACUUGAAGAGAUAUGUGCACUCCAGUGUUCAUAGGAGCACUACUGAUAACAGCCAAGACAUGAAACCACCCAAGUGCCCAUCAACAAAUGAUGGGCAUAUUUUAUAUAUAUAAUGGAUUUUUACUCAGCCAUAAGAAAGAAUGAAAUAUUUCCAUUUGUAGCAACAUGAUGGACUUGGAGAAUAUCGCACUAAGGAAGUGUGACAUACAAAGACAAAUAUGAUAUCACUUAUAUUUGGAAUCUAAAAAAUAAUACAAAUGAAUCUCUAUAAAACAGAAAAAGGCUCACAGACAUAGAAAACAAACUUGUGGUUACAAAAGGGGAAAGGGAGGGAGUGGGAAGAUAAAUUAGGAAUAUCCUAAAUUAUAAUUCCUAGAGUGCUGUACUAUUUUUAAUACUUUAAGAAUAAAGGUGAUAUGGUAUUGGCAACUACUAUACAUGAAACAGAUGAGUAACGAGUAUUUACUGUAUAGCACAGGGAACUAUAUUCAAUACCGUAUAAUUACCUAUAGUGGAAAUUAUCUGAAAAAAUAUAUAAAACUGAAUCACUGUGCUGUAUACCUGAAACUAAUGCUGUAAGUCAAUAAUACUUCAAUUAGAAAAAAAGAGUGGGGGAGUAACUGGGCUUGUUCGAAAUUCUCUCUUGAAGCUUUAUCCAUAAGGAAAAGUGCAUCAGAUGGUAAAAGCCAGUAUCAUUAAGUAUAUCUACUGGCUAGUCCCUUGGGGAGAGUCGUCAUAUGCUUCAUCUUAGCUGUUUUACUCCAAAGAGCUUAUCUAUAACUCUAAAGCAAGAAAUCAUUUCUUCUGGAAUUACUAGGGCUCUUGGUUCAACUGAUACUUCUUCACCUAAGGUAGCUAUGGAAAUAUCUCCCAUCUUGAUUUCUUCCUAUUUAAUGCUGAGAAGUAGAGUAUCUUCUGAGACUUGUAUCAUUUACAUAAUUGCAGUUUAUUGCUUAAUUUCAUCACUGAUUAUGUCAUAAUAACUGACAAAGUCAUAUACACAUAUACUUUUAAAGUAUAUUCCAUACAGCUUAUAGUGCAUUUACACUUUUAGUAUUUUUUGCUUUAUCUUGUUUAAGGCCAGUGGAAUUUAUUUCUAUCUUUAUUUAAAGGAGAGCUGUUCAUAUUUUGAAAUGCUGUUACAGUGAUGUAUCAGUUACAUUCCUUCUUUCUUUAGGCCUAUAACUUGCCAAUGAAGUAUUUCUGUUACCAUUGGUACAAGUGUAGCAUAUGGAAAAUGUAAAUCAUUUCACUCUCUUUAGACUUACUUGUGACAAAGCUUUACUCAGGGAUGCUUUGCUUAAGCAAUUAGUCAACCAUAAAUUCUAUAAUGCACAACAUCUUGCAUUAGUGGAAAAGCAAGCUACUCUGGAAAUCUAAAUUCACAUAAAUUUUCCAGAUUUGAGACUGGGUUUUUUUUUUAAUGGAAACCAUUUGGUCUAUUUGACCCUCAGAGACAACCAAGUAGGCAGCAGCAUGAGGUUUUGAUAACAUAUGGGUUAAUUAAUAAAGUCUAACCAGUCAGGGAAGUGUUGGAUUUAAAGGCAUUUAAUAAGAUUAGACUUUCAAACAUUAUUUGGUGCAUUAAUUCAAAUAUUCAAAUUGGCACAGCCCAGAGGCCCAGAAAUGAAAAAAAAAAUGAGGGCAGAUAGGAAUAAAAUUAAAUUUUAGGAAGGUAUUAAAAUAAAAAUACACUCACAACCCGAAAUUUAGAAAUGGAAUUAGAGUUUUUCAGCCUAUUAAAACUCACUACCAUUAGUAUAUGAGGCCACCAAAGUAGGUAGACUGAUAACUGUGUAAGCAGAUAUGUAUUUAAAAAAAGAAAUUAUUUUUUUCAGCAUUAAAUUUGAAUCUUCUAUACAGUCUACUAAGGUAAUUUCACCAAUACUGGAGAAUCUUUAUUCUUAAGGUAUUAAAAGCAGUACAGCAUUUUAGGAAUUCUAAUUGAGGAUUUUUGCUCUAUAACUGGUAUGGUAUUUCAUACUCAUCAUGCUAAUACCUAUAAUGUUUAUGUCUGUGGCCUGCAAUUGUCCACUGAUAAUUAGAUUCAGGCCAGCGUGGGAACCACAGAAAGAAAAAGUAAACUUUUCUUCUGAGAACCCAGUACUAUUGAAAUUAACUGUGAAAAGAGAAAUACAAAAAUCACUAGAAGCAUAUCCUGCCAGCUACUUCUAAAAUGUACUGUUUGUUGCAUUUACGAGAUAAUAUGCCUUUUUGUACCGUAGUAGUAAAUUAAAACUAAAAUGAAAUUAAAACAGAGCCUGUUUCCACCAUGUUGUAAAUGAAAGUCAUUAUAAUUCAAUGCCAGAUAUGAGUCAGUUAAUUCUACCUCAGCCAAAGCUCUGAUAUUUCAGAGAACAGCAGAUGUUACCCUUUAUACUACCCCAUUAAUAUACCUAGUGAGUUAUUCCACUCUUAUCCCCAGGGCAGAGAAUAAAGGCAUAUUUUCCUUUCUAUUCCUUAAGCAAACCUACUUGCUCCCUGAAGCACAAGAUUUAAUUAUCCUUAUUGCAUUAUAUUUGCUUGAAUAGCUACAGAAGUUAUUAAUGGGCAUAACAUUUUCUGAUCUUUUUCAUGAAAUUCAGCUAUGAUAUUUAUGCUGAUUUAAUUACCUCUAGCACAUUAAUUAGUCCAGCAGUAAGAAUUAAGGACUUAGGAUUUAUAACAAAAUUUAUUCCUAUUGAUUAUUAUGAUAUGUGACAGUUUGGCUAAUGGGAGAGUUUAAACAUAGAAUUCACAUAUGUAUGUAAGUUUCUGGGAAAAAGGAACUGGAGACCUACUAUAUUUACUAGCUGUUUAUGGGGAUAUCUACCAAGAAAGGACCCUGGAAACCUAGUGGGUGCUAGAUCAACUACUAAAUGCCUGUGUAACCUUAGGCAAAUAAUUUAGCUUCUCUGUGUUUCAGCUGCAUCAUCUGUAAUAAAGAGGAAAUAGUGGUAAUCUUUACAUUAUAGAGUCUUUUUUAUAUUAGUUUAAUAUCUAUAAAGCACUGAGAGAUAUCUGGUACAUCAUAUGUUAUACAUAAAUGCAGUGAUUUUAAUAAUAAUAAUAAUUGAAAAUAAGCAGAAGGGACAGACUUAAAAACAGAGAGUGAAUUUAUGUUCAGUCACUUGACUGCUAGGUAGAAAUCUAAUGAGGAGUUAAACUUUGAGGAUUUUUAUGACUGAAUCUCAAGUUACGAGUAUGUCAGGAUAAAUGGAAUUAAUAAUUUUGGGUAAUAUCAAAUUUUAGUUACUAUUUGAAGACAAUAAAUAAAGGAGAAAUUUGAGAGAAAAUGAGCAAUUAAGGAAAGAGUUAGGACUAAACACUGGUAUUGGAAGACUUUCGUCAGUCGGGGAAAGAAAAAAAUAAUGUAAAGGAUAUUGGGGUAGAGAUAAGGAGAUGGUUGGUAGGAGGAGCAAGAAAAAUUACAGUACAAGGACAUGGAAAAGUGGCAUACAGUGUUAAAAGCAGUAAAAUAAAUGUAUCAAAGGAAACCAGUGGCUUUGAAUAUGGAAUUUAUUGGUAUCCCUUGAUUGCAGUUUCAGAAUUUGGUGGAGGAAAGACACUGACUGCACUAUAUUGGGAAGUAAAUGUUGAGCUGAAGCGAAGGAAGCAGAUUAGAAAACUUCAAAAAUUUAGGUGGUCAGUUUAAGGCUUGAUUAAAAAUAGAAAGAGAACAAUGACCACAAGCCAGUCAUAUUAUGAGAUUUUACCACCUGCUUGUCUUAAAAAUCUCAAGUUUUGAAUUUAGUUUGAAGUGAUUGAGUUGAUAGUGAAGAAGCAAAAGCAAGUUUCUCUCCAGAAAAACCCAUUUCCACACAGACCUCAAGUAAUUCACAUACUUAACAUUCCAGAAAAUGUGAGCUUUCUCGUAGGAAAUCAGAAAACUCAUACAGAAACAAAGUACCAAGAACAAGAUCUAGCAGAAGUGAUGCAAAGCAAGAUCAGAAACAUAAUAAUGUGAGAUAGUGAAUGUCAGACAUAGUUUUAAAUAAGCACUUCUUAAAGAAUGAAAUAAAAGGUGGAUUACAAAUAUGAGCAAAGAGAAACAGAUUAGAAAAUGACUGGGUAUAUUUGAAAUG